rnacentral:rRNA from 1 species
AUUGAACGCUGGCGGUAUGCCUUACACAUGCAAGUCGAACGGUAACAGGUCUUCGGAUGCUGACGAGUGGCGAACGGGUGAGUAAUACAUCGGAACGUGCCUAGUAGUGGGGGAUAACUACUCGAAAGAGUGGCUAAUACCGCAUGAGAUCUACGGAUGAAAGCAGGGGAUCGCAAGACCUUGUGCUACUAGAGCGGCCGAUGGCAGAUUAGGUAGUUGGUGGGAUAAAAGCUUACCAAGCCGACGAUCUGUAGCUGGUCUGAGAGGACGAUCAGCCACACUGGGACUGAGACACGGCCCAGACUCCUACGGGAGGCAGCAGUGGGGAAUUUUGGACAAUGGGCGAAAGCCUGAUUCAGCUAUGCCGCGUGCAGGAUGAAGGCCUUCGGGUUGUAAACUGCUUUUGUACGGAACGAAAAGCCCCGGGUUAAUACCCUGGGGUCAUGACGGUACCGUAAGAAUAAGCACCGGCUAACUACGUGCCAGCCGCCGCAGUAA